GACGAACGCUGGCGGCGUGCUUAACACAUGCAAGUCGAACGGAAAGGCCCUGCUUUUGUGGGGUGCUCGAGUGGCGAACGGGUGAGUAACACGUGAGUAACCUGCCCUUGACUUUGGGAUAACUUCAGGAAACUGGGGCUAAUACCGGAUAGGAGCUCCUGCUGCAUGGUGGGGGUUGGAAAGUUUCGGCGGUUGGGGAUGGACUCGCGGCUUAUCAGCUUGUUGGUGGGGUAGUGGCUUACCAAGGCUUUGACGGGUAGCCGGCCUGAGAGGGGGACCGGCCACAUUGGGACUGAGAUACGGCCCAGACUCCUACGGGAGGCAGCAGUGGGGAAUAUUGCACAAUGGGCGGAAGCCUGAUGCAGCAACGCCGCGUGCGGGAUGACGGCCUACGGGUUGUAAACCGCUUUCGCCUGUGACGAAGCGUGAGUGACGGUAAUGGGUAAAGAAGCACCGGCUAACUACGUG
rnacentral:rRNA from 1 species